AACGGACGCUGGCGGCAGGCUUAACACAUGCAAGUCGAGCGCCCCGCAAGGGGAGCGGCAGACGGGUGAGUAACGCGUGGGAACAUACCCUUUAGUACGGAAUAGCCUCGGGAAACUGGGAUUAAUACCGCAUACGCCCUACGGGGAAAGCGGGGACCGUUCGGGCCUCGCGCUAUCAGAUGAGCCUGCGUAGGAUUAGCUUGUUGGUGAGGUAAAGGCUCACCAAGGCGACGAUCCUUAGCUGGUCUGAGAGGAUGAUCAGCCACACUGGAACUGAGACACGGUCCAGACUCCUACGGGAGGCAGCAGUGGGAAUAUUGCGCAAUGGGCGAAAGCCUGACGCAGCCAUGCCGCGUGUGUGAAGAAGGCCCUUGGGUUGUAAAGCACUUUCAAUUGGAGAAAGGUUGCGUGUUAAUAGCACGUAGCUGUGACGUUACCUUUAGAAGAAGCACCGCGUAACUCCGUG
rnacentral:rRNA from 1 species